AAAUGUUUCUGUCAGAGUAUGUGCACUGUAAAUGAUAUUUUAUUUCUUGCUCUCUCUCUUGGCAGGUAUUUUUCACGGAGAUCUAAAAGUGGAAAACAUUUUUGUUAAAAGCGGUGACAUCAAUGAAGUAAAUGAAGUGAAAUUAAACAUAAAGCCUUCAGUCUGGGACAGUGUGUGCCUUUCUUCCUGAACAAAGGGAGAGGAGAAUAACUCCUGAGUGACUUUAAUGGGAGAAGUGGAAAACACAGAGCCAAGUCCCAAAGCUGGUGCAGCCAGCCGAUAUGCAGACAGAAUGAUGGGACAAAUCCAGGCGUGGCUUGCUCCUGGUGAAAGACGCUCUUCCAUAUGGCA